rnacentral:rRNA from 1 species
UACGUAGGGUGCGAGCGUUGUCCGGAAUUAUUGGGCGUAAAGGGCUCGUAGGCGGUUUGUCGCGUCGGGAGUGAAAUCCACUGGCUUAACUGGUGGCUUGCUUUCGAUACGGGCAGACUGGAGGUAUGCAGGGGAGAACGGAAUUCCUGGUGUAGCGGUGAAAUGCGCAGAUAUCAGGAGGAAUACCGGAGGCGAAGGCGGCUCACUGGGGGUUUUCUGACGCUGAGGAACGAAAGCCAGGGUAGCGAACGGG